AUGCCCGAAACUUUUCUCAAUAACCUUCAAAUCAACUUUCGGAACUGUUUUUGGAAUAGCAUGCGGAGUGUCCUGCGGGAUUGCCUCGUACCUUCGCCUCUACAAAAGCAAAAACUAACGCAACAGAGAGCAGCAAUGAUAAAUCCAUGUUGCAAAGAACUCACAUCCCAACAAUAACAGUGCCCCUACGUGAAGUCUCCCACUUUCUUUCCAGAUGACCAUUAUCAAUGUUUCUGAUCUCCUCACAUUUUUGUCAUUAACACUAUCAGUGCGUAAGUAAUUUUUUGGAAAUGUACGGAAGCAAAUAAGAAUGCAAGGUCAAUUGAGUCAUACCGAUUAUUUUUAAUUAACAUAUCGACGGUGAAACUACCAAACCACGUAUCUCGGUUUGCGACGUUGCAGACUUCCUUUCAUACUUUAUUUUUUAAAUGAAAAACUACUUAACGUCCAGUCUUGAAAAUUUCUGUGAUUUUUCCUCUUCGUGCGGAGAAAAUUCUGUGAAAAAUUUUAAGGAAUGAUAUUGAUUUGGUCUACUUCAAAAAAAUAAAAUGCGAGCGUAGAUUUUUAAACACCGCAAACGAGAUACGUGGUUUGGUAGUUUCACCGUCGAUAUGCUUUGUGAAAAAAGUGUUCUUGAGUGAGGGUUUGACCUUUACAUUGAAGUGUUGCCUGAUGGGCGUUCCAAAUAUGGGUCAUAAUAAUCCGAUAUCAAAUUGUCCACAUACUGCCAUUAGGAACUACUAUUUCUGACUCAGAGACAACGUAUCGAUAGUAGAACUUUUAAACGAAGUAUCUUUUCUGCGGUGUUUAAAAAUCUCCCGUUCAUGUUUUUGAGGAACUAAUUGACACAAUUUCUUGAAAUUUUUACACAAUUUUCUUCGCACGAUAAGAAAAAAUCGCGGAGGUUUAUACGAAUCGACGUUGAUUAGUUUUCCACUUUAAAACGGAAGCACGUCGGGAAGUCUAAAACACCGCCAACCCAGAUACGUGGUUUGGGAGUUUCACCGACGAAACGUGCUAAUAGUUUCCUUAUGGAGAAAGGUGCUUUUGUGAGUGCGCAAAAAAAUUAGCUCCUAGCUGUAUUUAGUC
rnacentral:lncRNA from 1 species